rnacentral:rRNA from 1 species
AGUCGAGGGGUAGUGGGAGCUUGCUUCCAUGAGACCGGCGCACGGGUGCGUAACGCGUAUGCAACCUACCUUCAUCAGGGGGAUAGCCCGGAGAAAUCCGGAUUAACACCGCAUGAAAUCACAGUACGGCAUCGUACAAUGAUCAAACAUUUAUGGGAUGGGGAUGGGCAUGCGUGUCAUUAGUUAGUUGGCGGGGUAACGGCCCACCAAGACCGCGAUGACUAGGGGAUCUGAGAGGAUGACCCCCCACACUGGUACUGAGACACGGACCAGACUCCUACGGGAGGCAGCAGUAAGGAAUAUUGGUCAAUGGGCGAGAGCCUGAACCAGCCAUGCCGCGUGCAGGAAGACGGCCCUCUGGGUUGUAAACUGCUUUUAUUCGGGAAUAAACCUACUUACGUGUAAGUAGCUGAAUGUACCGAAGGAAUAAGGAUCGGCUAACUCCGUGCCAGCAGCCGCGGUAAUACGGAGGAUCCAAGCGUUAUCCGGAUUUAUUGGGUUUAAAGGGUGCGUAGGCGGCCUGUUAAGUCAGGGGUGAAAGACGGUAGCUCAACUAUCGCAGUGCCCUUGAUACUGAUGGGCUUGAAUGGACUAGAGGUAGGCGGAAUGUGACAAGUAGCGGUGAAAUGCAUAGAUAUGUCACAGAACACCGAUUGCGAAGGCAGCUUACUAUGGUCCUAUUGACGCUGAGGCACGAAAGCGUGGGGAUCAAACAGGAUUAGAUACCCUGGUAGUCCACGCCCUAAACGAUGAACACUCGCUGUUGGCGAUACACAGUCAGCGGCUAAGCGAAAGCGUUAAGUGUUCCACCUGGGGAGUACGCCCGCAAGGGUGAA